rnacentral:rRNA from 1 species
GACAUAGGUCGCAAACGUUAUCCGGAAUUAUUGGGCGUAAAGGAUGCGUAGAUGGUUCAAUAAGUUACUGGUGGGAAAUCGAGGCUCAACCUCGUGGAAGUCAGUAAUACUGUUGAACUUGAGUGCAGGAGAGGUUAACGGAACUUUAUGUGGAGCGGUAAAAUGCGUAGAUAUAUGAAAGAACAUCAAUAUGGCGAAGGCAGUUAACUAUUCUGUUACUGACGUUGAGGCAAUGAAAGCGUGGGGGAGCAAAACAGG